rnacentral:rRNA from 1 species
CCUAAGGUAGCGAAAUUCCUUGUCGGGUAAGUUCCGACCUGCACGAAUGGCGUAAUGAUGGCCAGGCUGUCUCCACCCGAGACUCAGUGAAAUUGAACUCGCUGUGAAGAUGCAGUGUACCCGCGGCAAGACGGAAAGACCCCGUGAACCUUUACUAUAGCUUGACACUGAACAUUGAGCCUUGAUGUGUAGGAUAGGUGGGAGGCUUUGAAGUGUGGACGCCAGUCUGCAUGGAGCCGACCUUGAAAUACCACCCUUUAAUGUUUGAUGUUCUAACGUUGGCCCCUGAUCGGGGUUGCGGACAGUGUCUGGUGGGUAGUUUGACUGGGGCGGUCUCCUCCUAAAGAGUAACGGAGGAGCACGAAGGUUGGCUAAUCCUGGUCGGACAUCAGGAGGUUAGUGCAAUGGCAUAAGCCAGCUUGACUGCGAGCGUGACGGCGCGAGCAGGUGCGAAAGCAGGUCAUAGUGAUCCGGUGGUUCUGAAUGGAAGGGCCAUCGCUCAACGGAUAAAAGGUACUCCGGGGAUAACAGGCUGAUACCGCCCAAGAGUUCAUAUCGACGGCGGUGUUUGGCACCUCGAUGUCGGCUCAUCACAUCCUGGGGCUGAAGUAGGUCCCAAGGGUAUGGCUGUUCGCCAUUUAAAGUGGUACGCGAGCUGGGUUUAGAACGUCGUGAGACAGUUCGGUCCCUAUCUGCCGUGGGCGCUGGAGAACUGAGGGGGGCUGCUCCUAGUACGAGAGGACCGGAGUGGACGCAUCACUGGUGUUCGGGUUGUCAUGCCAAUGGCACUGCCCGGUAGCUAAAUGCGGAAGAGAUAAGUGCUGAAAGCAUCUAAGCACGAAACUUGCCCCGAGAUGAGUUCUCCCUGAGACUUUAAGUCUCCUGAAGGAACGUUGAAGACGACGACGUUGAUAGGCCGGGUGUGUAAGCGCAGCGAUGCGUUGAGCUAACCGGUACUAAUGAACCGUGAGGCUUAACCUU